rnacentral:lncRNA from 1 species
UCAAGUGUAUUUUCUGAAGUUACAAAGCUAGAAAAUUUAUAGGCAAAUUUCCGUACGAAUUUACACUUUCUAAGAGACAAGAACCAAGUUCCUAGAACAUAUUCAAAGUAAUAAUAAAUUCUUCCCAAGAAACGAAGUUCAUGAAACAGAAAAUUCAUGAACCACGGAAACCAAAGAGACAAAACAUAAAUUCUUUCCAACCAACGAAGUUCAUGAAUCAGAAAAUUCAUGAACCACAAAAACCAAAGAGACAACAUUAACUAACCUUGGAAACCAAAAAAACAAAAGCUAUAAGUCAAAGAGACAAAACAUAUGUCUAGCUUACAAUUUCUAACAGCCCCCCUUAAGCUAGACAACCGUCAUACCCAAUUUCUUCUUCAAAUGCUUGUAUAUGUCCACUUUCAAAGCUUUUGUAAGGAUAUCAGCAAUUUGUUCUUGUAUCUUGCAAAACUUUACAUUCACGUCACCAUCCUUCCACUACAAG